rnacentral:rRNA from 1 species
GACGUAGGGCGCGAGCGUUGUCCGGAUUUAUUGGGCGUAAAGAGCUCGUAGGCGGCUCGUUGCGUCGGCUGUGAAAACCCGCAGCUCAACUGUGGGCUUGCAGCUGAUACGGGCGGGCUGGAGUUCGGUAGGGGAGACUGGAAUUCCUGGUGUAGCGGUGAAAUGCGCAGAUAUCAGGAGGAACACCGGUGGCGAAGGCGGGUCUCUGGGCCUUACCUGACGCUCAGGCGCGAAAGCUAGGGGAGCGAACAGG